rnacentral:rRNA from 1 species
AUUGAACGCUGGCGGCAGGCUUAACACAUGCAAGUCGAGCGAGCGGCGGACGUGUGAGUAAUGUCUCGGAAACUGCCUGAUGGAGGGGGAUAACUACUGGAAACGGUAGCUAAUACCGCAUACCAUCAGAUGUGCCCAGAUGGGAUUAGCUAGUAGGUGGGGUAAUGGCUCACCAAGGCGACGAUCCCUAGCUGGUUUGAGAGGAUGACCAGCCACACUGGAACGGAGACACGGUCCAGACUCCGACGGGAGGCAGCAGUGGGGAAUAUUGGACAAUGGGCGAAAGCCUGAUGCAGCCAUGCCGCGUGUGUGAAGAAGGCCUUCGGGUUGUAAAGCACUUUCAGCGAAGAGGCGUUACUCGCAGAAGAAGCACCGGCUAACUCCGUGCCAGCAGCCGCGGUAAUAC